rnacentral:rRNA from 1 species
GACGAAGGUGGCGAGCGUUGUUCGGAAUCACUGGGCAUAAAGCGCACGUAGGCGGCGACGUAAGUUGGGUGUGAAAUCCCUCGGCCCAACCGAGGAACUGCGCCCAGUACUGCGUUGCUUGAGGAUCCAAGGGGUGCAUGGAAUUCCCGGUGGAGCGGUGAAAUGCGUUGAUAUCGGGAGGAACACCUGUGGCGAAAGCGGCUCACUGGACCACAACUGACGCCGAGGCGCGAAAGCUAGGGGAGCAAACAGG